rnacentral:rRNA from 1 species
UACGUAGGGUCCAAGCGUUAAUCGGAAUUACUGGGCGUAAAGCGUGCGCAGGCGGUUCGUUAAGUCAGCUGUGAAAGCCCCGGGCUCAACCUGGGAAUGGCGGUUGAAACUGGCGAACUUGAAUCUGGCAGAGGGGGGUGGAAUUCCGCGUGUAGCAGUGAAAUGCGUAGAGAUGCGGAGGAACACCGAUGGCGAAGGCAGCCCCCUGGGUCGACACUGACGCUCAGGCACGAAAGCGUGGGGAGCAAACAGG